CGAGCGCCCCCUCGUCCGGCGGUACUCGAUCUCCGCCGCCGCCACCGCCACCGCCGCCGCCGCCUCCUCGCCGCCCUCGCAGCUCCCGCUGGCCUCCAAGGUCCAGAGCGGCUUCCAGCCGCGGAAGUCGUCGUCGACCUCCGCCUCCUUCGACGCCGACGACCAGCACCAGCCGAGCGCCCCCUCGUCCGGCGGUACUCGAUCUCUGCCGCCGCCUCCGCCUCCUCGCCGCCCUCCCAGCUCCGCUGGCGUCCAAGGUCCAGCGUCUCGCGGACAAUGUCCAGGUUUUUCCGAAACGCUCCGAUCGUCUCGCGCUCUAUUUUGGCUCCCGAUUGAGUUGGGGAUUUGACUAUUUCGAAUUUUUGCUUCUUGCUUCGGUUGAUUCCUUCUCUGUUGCCGAGCUCUGAGAAGAGCGAUUUCCGGAUGCAGCUCGCGAGGCAGGAUUACUUGGAGCUGAGACAAGAGGCGAGUGAACUGCAGGAGUAUUCCAACACGAAGCUCAAUCGAGUCACGCAGUCACGCUCUACCUCGGCGUUCUCGCCGACAAGAAGCCGAAACUAGAUCAAGUCGCCCUUGAAGGUGAGGCUAGGAUAGCGCCGCUCGUCUGUGAGAAGAGGAAGUUGUUCAAUGAGUUGUUGACAUCCAAAGGAGGGGCAUAUCGAAGUUCUAUGAUGGCAAGUGAAAAUCUUUCACGGGCUUAGCAAAUGCUUCUAUUUCUUCAUCUGUUAAAGAGAUCGUAAAAUUGAAAAAUGCUUACAGCAGAAGGCGUAGAAAUAUCUUUGCAUCCAGUCACAUGUUGGACAGAAGCCGCAAUUUUUCCUCUUGGGAAGCAACGUGGUGGGGAUAUCUAAGAGAAGACCGCUCACCUUGAGCAAAGGCGCAUUGUUUUGAAGGUUGCUGCUAUGUGCAACUCAGAGAGUUUUAGUUCCGCGAGUGAAGACUCAAUGACUGAAAAAGCUGACCCCGAGGAUUUAGCUUGAGAUCUGUAGAUUGUGCUCGGCCUAGUUCGGUUUCAUACCCACGAGGUUCAUUUGCGUUUGGGGGGUGUAUGGUUUUUAUUCAGGUUUUGGAUACAUCUUCCACUUGUACUAAGUAAUUUAUUUCUCCACGAGGAUAUUAGGUUAUUGCAAAACUACGAAGCGAGCAGGGCAAAGCCACAUCUGAGGUGCAAAGCCGUUGCCCAUGUAUUUUGCAGGACGAUGGACUGGUAGUAUGUAUAUAUGUUCACUUGCAUCAAAUAAAAGUUAGUAGUCCAUUUCA